rnacentral:rRNA from 1 species
AACGCGAAGAACCUUACCUGGGCUCGAACGGCUUCGGACCAUCCUUGGAAACAGGGACUUCCCGCAAGGGACUGGAGUCGAGGUGCUGCAUGGCUGUCGUCAGCUCGUGUCGUGAGAUGUUGGGUUAAGUCCCGCAACGAGCGCAACCCUUGUCCUGUGUUGGCAUGCCGCAAGGCGCAACUCUCAGGAGACCGCCAGCGAUAAGUUGGAGGAAGGUGGGGAUGACGUCAAGUCAUCAUGGCCUUUAUGUCCAGGGCCACACACGUGCUACAAUGGAAGGGACAACGAGUCGCGAACCCGCGAGGGCAAGCUAAUCUCACAAACCCUUUCUCAGUUCGGAUUGAAGGCUGCAACUCGCCUUCAUGAAGUCGGAAUCGCUAGUAACCGUAGAUCAGCUACGCUGCGGUGAAUACGUUCCCGGGCCUUGUACACACCGAUAGC